UUCUAAACAUCAAGGGUAAAUAUGUCAAAAACAAAAUAAAACAUAAUAAUAAUUUAAUAAAAUUAAACCAAAUCAAAAGAAAAAGAAAAAAAACUACUGGAUUGUCGUCUCCUUCACUCACAACCACGGAAUCUUCUUCUUAACUUCCUUCCCUUCACUCACAGCCACCGGAUUUUUCUCCUCAAGUUCAUUUCCUCCAGUUAGGUUUUCCUGGACCUUAGGUUUCCAUGCAUUCUUCAUCCUUUUCUUUUUCUUCUUCGAUUCUUCUUCGGAGAUGGUUCUGAUAGAAUCGAUUUUGUCAGAUCUGGAGGCUACCUCAUCGAUCUCCCUGUGAUUUCAUCGAUCUCGACCCGUUCACGUGUUUCAACAAUGGAUGAAUCAUCCGGUUCUGCUCCCUGUGGCCGACGUGUCUGAAAUCCUUUCUCGCCGGAAAGCAUCCUCAGAUCUCGCCGGAAAAUAUGUGUGAUCUCCUUUGUGUCUUUUUGUUUCUCAUUAGAUUUUUUUUUCAAGUGAAGAUCCGGUGAAGAAGGAGAUAAAUCUGUCUAUGGUUUAUACCUGAAAUUUUCUGAUCUCGCCGGAAAGAUUUUUGUUGGCUAUGGUUUAUCUCUGAUUUUUGUUGGCUAUGGUUUGUUGGCUAUGGUUUUCUGAAUUUUUUGAUUAUUGUAGCUAGCCAUGGUCAUAGGAUACAGGUCAUAAUGCUCUUAAACGUCGAUACAGGUCAUAGGAUAGGGAGUCCGGAUUACUCCCUAACGUGCAGUAAACAGUCGGCUGAAGCUAGCCGGAGAUUUGCGAGCCUCUGGAGCUCGCCGGAGACGUCGCUGCUACAAGCGGAGAAAUCGCUGAAAGCUUGGGAGAAAUCAAGAAACUGCUUGGGAUCUCGCCGGAGGAUUUGGACGAUUUAUUGGCGAGCUCGCCGAGCCGGAGGUCCAUGACGGAGUCGGUGAGAUUCUCGGAGAAAUAGGUGGACGGCGGCGAACAGGGGAGGGAGAAGCUGAAAAUGGAAUAUUAGAAAUGUUAAUUUAUGUUUUGACUGUUUUGUCCUUUGUUUAAUAAAGAGUUGUUUAUUUAAUAAUUAAAAAAUAUUUUUUUUUGCCACAUAAGCUUUUUAAGG
rnacentral:lncRNA from 1 species